CACUUUUGGCAAAUGACUGCUUCAACUUUCUGCGGCUGCGACGCCUUUUAUAGAGCCGCUUAAUUGCAUUUUAGAGCGUUUCAACUUGAUGACGCGUAGAACUUGACACUGGCCAGUGUCGCAAUCACCUUCGCUGUCGGAUUCAGAAUAAGGCAAUCUUGGCAAAUUAAGAGAAUAGGAGAAAUAUAAAUACAUAUGUAAAUUUAUUAAUUUAAUUAGGCACAUUUCUUCAUAAAACCAGCUGGAGUGGUUCAGUC